rnacentral:rRNA from 1 species
UACGUAGGGUGCAAGCGUUGUCCGGAAUUAUUGGGCGUAAAGCGCACGUAGGUGGCGACGUAAGUCGGGUGUGAAAGCCCCGGGCUCAACCUGGGAAUUGCAUUCGAGACUGCAUUGCUGGAGUACGGAAGAGGAGGGCGGAAUUCCCGGUGUAGCGGUGAAAUGCGUAGAUAUCGGGAGGAACAUCAGUGGCGAAGGCGGCCCUCUGGUCCAGUACUGACACUCAAGUGCGAAAGCGUGGGGAGCAAACAGG